AAAAACCUUACCUACGCUUGACAUGUCUGGAAUCCUGUAGAGAUGCGGGAGUGCUCGAAAGAGAGCCAGAACACAGGUGCUGCAUGGCUGUCGUCAGCUCGUGUCGUGAGAUGUUGGGUUAAGUCCCGCAACGAGCGCAACCCUUAUCAUUAGUUGCUACGAAAGGGCACUCUAAUGAGACUGCCGGUGACAAACCGGAGGAAGGUGGGGAUGACGUCAAGUCCUCAUGGCCCUUAUGCGUAGGGCUUCACACGUCAUACAAUGGUCGGUACAGAGGGUCGCCAACCCGCGAGGGGGAGCCAAUCCCUUAAAACCGAUCGUAGUCCGGAUUGCAGUCUGCAACUCGACUGCAUGAAGUCGGAAUCGCUAGUAAUCGCGGAUCAGAAUGUCGCGGUGAAUACGUUCCCGGGUCUUGUACACACCGCCCGUCACACCAUGGGAGUGGGUUUGACCAGAAGGUAGNUAGCNUAACCGACNNGGAGGCUCGUACCCGG
rnacentral:rRNA from 1 species